UAGGGAAUCUUCCACAAUGGACGCAAGUCUGAUGGAGCAACGCCGCGUGAGUGAAGAAGGUUUUCGGAUCGUAAAGCUCUGUUGUUGGUGAAGAAGGAUAGAGGCAGUAACUGGUCUUUAUUUGACGGUAAUCAACCAGAAAGUCACGGCUAACUACGUGCCAGCAGCCGCGGUAAUACGUAGGUGGCAAGCGUUGUCCGGAUUUAUUGGGCGUAAAGCGAGCGCAGGCGGAAUGAUAAGUCUGAUGUGAAAGCCCACGGCUCAACCGUGGAACUGCAUCGGAAAAUGGCAUUCUUGAGUGCAGAAGAGGAGAGUGGAAUUCCAUGUGUAGCGGUGGAAUGCGUAGAUAUAUGGAAGAACACCAGUGGCGAAGGCGGCUCUCUGGUCUGCAACUGACGCUGAGGCUCGAAAGCAUGGGUAGCGAACAGG
rnacentral:rRNA from 1 species